AACACUAAUCAUAAUUGUCAAACUGAAAAUCGUUUCUGUUUGCAUGCGAUGGAUAUAUAGAUAUUUGUGUGUAAUUUGUAUUAAGAUCAUAUAAUCGUAAUUCAUUUUAUAAGAAUUAUAUAUUAUCUCGUAAAUUCAAAGAGAAACAAGCAAAAAUGGGGCGACGUUCCAUCAAUACCACUAAAAGUGGUAAAUAUAUGAAUCCAACUGAUCAAGCAAGGAAAGAGGCGAGAAAAAAAGAACUAAAGAAAAAUAAAAGACAGCGGCAAAUGGUUAGGGCAGCAGUGCUUAAAAUGAAA